rnacentral:lncRNA from 1 species
GUUGAAUCCGAUGUUCCAGCGCAUGGUCCCCUGCUGUGCACACACAAUUGGGCGAUCCAAGUGCAAGUACUCGCAUGCCAAUGGAAGGCAGACUGCGUGCACGAUGACACACAACCCGCUCUAUUUCCUUCCUGCUGUUUUCCUUCACAAGGAAAGAUAACUAUGGAAUCAACAUUAAACUUCAGAGAAUAAGAUAAAGCUGAAUUAGAUAUCCAUACGGAAAACACCCAGAACUGAGAAAUGACAUAGGAAUUGAGAGCUGAAUUAGAGAGAGCACAUAGCCAUGUGAGAGAUGACAUAGGAAUUGAGAAAAUAUAAUCGGACCAAAUCUAGCAUAUUCUUCUGAACAUAUCCUAAAGUAAUUUAGAAAAUGUGUCUUCAUAUUUUCACUACGAAAACGCAAAUAAAUCAAAAGAAACUGAAGGUAAACGAAAAUUGGCUUGAUCAGGAGCUGCACUACUGACCAUUAAAUAAGCAGCAGUGCAACACUCUCCAUCAGCCAACCACCUACUGGGCAUCCACAAUUUUGAUUUAAAAUGAGAUAAUAGGUGAGAAC